rnacentral:lncRNA from 1 species
CUCUUUGGCCUCCCAUUAACGUAGGGAGAUACAAGACUCUCCAUAUAGAUAGGGGCACAAAUAUAUUCCUUAGUCUUGUAGAACAGCAUAUCACGACACAAAGUUCUCUUGUUAGGAACGUAAUGUUCCUGCUCUUUCAAGCAUUGUAACGCUAAGUUCAUAUCACAGUCCUUUUCAAACAUUUCCCAAGACAGGUUUCCAUUGUAGUUCUUCAGCAUCCAUAAGUUAUCAUUAAACCCAUCACAAGGAGAUACGCAUAAACAAUCUUCGAUAACACCUAAAUUCAUAUUUGGGCAGCUAGCAACACCAGAUUCAUAUCGCUCAUCAUCAGGUUCGGAAAUUUUGAUAAAUUUUUCUUCAGAUAGCUGAAACGAAGCAAUGACUCUCUUCUUAUUUGGAGAUGAAGAAUCUUUCAUAAUCCAAUGAAGUGCCCCAUUGCAUAAGAUACCAAUCCUACUAUGAAAUGAAUACUUUACAUCUCCAAUUAGUUUCCAAACAUUUGAUUUCAAACUUAACACUUGAAAACACGUCCAACCAACACGUUUACGGAACCCUAAUACAACCUUGUAAUCAUCCGUAGAUGAAUCAUAGCCAAAACCCCAACAUAAAUGCUUGGUAUCAAGAAUUUGAGGCUCUUGUAGUGUUUGAACCUCUCUAGUUGAGGGAUUAGCUACUACAAGUUGAGAAGCAAAAGAAGAGAUGCAUACAAGUCCAUUGGAAGAACCAAGAAGAUGACAAUCACGAUCAUCAAAUAAUCUGUCAUCAACAUCACAAACACGCGACCCGUUGCGAUAAGAGACCCUUGACAUAACAAUCCUCCUAUCUAUAUCAUUGUUUUUGUAAUCAAUUUGGUAACUAUAGUUCAUAUGGAAUUUAGUGAAACCAGAGUCAGAGAUCAAAAUUUCCCAAGACUUACAUACACUUUUGCAUCGGAUUAGAUCCCUCACAUUCAAUCUUUUCAGUAUAUGCGGAAGGACAUCAUCGUGAAGCUCUGCCAUCGGAACCGUAGAGUCGGCAAUCCGAUAGGAAAGAAAGGGGGGGGGGGUACCCACACGAUAGUGAUAAAUUUAUUUCUAUGGGGUAUUUAUUAGGGAUUUUAGUUAUCAACACUCAUAAAUGCGAAACAUGAUACGAAGAUAUUAUUACCAUGAUAUUUUACCAUAGAGUGAAAUUCAUUUACUGAAAUGACUUUUACAAACCUACCAUAUAUGAUUAGUAUAUCAAUAUCGAUAAGAUCACUAAUGCCAUCAAGACAUCAUGAUCUUCGAUAAUUGCUUUGCUACACCAACUGAAAUCAGUGUUAAUAACAUACCUUCUUUCUCAAGUAUUUCUUUUAAAAUGACAUUGUAACCCUCUGACCUUGGCAACCCAAUCUUAAAAUUUAUUGUCAUGUCCACCCACACAUUUUUUUUGGUAAUUCUAAGGGUUGCAACAAUCCUCUCGAUGCCAUUGUGAAAUAUUUAUGGUGUUGACACACGUCACACUCCGCCAUCAUUCUUGCUAUGCCUUUACACAUACCCUCCUAGUAUACAUCCUUUACCAUCUUUUGGUAAGUUUUUUUGUACUCCUGAAUGUCCCGCAAUUGCACUCGCACGUCACUCAUGAAAUAGACAAGGAACUCAAGAUGAUGAUCGAGGCAGCACUAAACAACUUUGAUAAAGGAUUCAGUCACCUUCAUCACUAAGCCUCGGUGGUGCGGAAGUCCCUUCUCGAACUUGCUGCCUUAUUAUCCAAAAUUCAUGAGCCCAGGACAGCUCUCACAAAACCUCAUUCCAUUAGACUAUCCAAAACCUCAUUCCAUUAGACUAUCCAAAACCUCAUUCCAUUAGACUAUCCAUGGUACUGAAAGGGUACCGAAGGAUGUUGAUGUCCCCUUUCAUGAAUGUACAUCAGUCGUGUUUUUUUUUGGUCCUAUAUUAAAUUUCAAUAUUAUAUCCUAAUAGUUUGGACAUCCAAUUUUGAUGUUCCUCAAUAAUGAUUUGUUGUUGUAAGUAAACAUUUAAAUCUUCGUUGGUUUGGCUGAACUAUGAAACACUUUCACACGAAGUAUGGAUGCCACUUUUGAAUGGCGAAUACUAUCGCUAUUAGUUCUCUUUCAUCAACUGGCUUGUACCGAGAACCGGUACCAAGGACCUAACUGUAUUAGGCCUUAGGCCACUGGUAUUCCUCCUUGCAUGAGGACUGCCCCCAACCCAAGGCAUGAUGCAUCGGUUUCCAUAAUGAAUUCCUUGGGUAAAAUACAGUAUUACCAAGACCGGUAUUUAUAUCAUUGUUGUUUGGUCACUACUAGAAAAAAGGCUUUUCUUGACAGACGAGUAGAUAAAAAGCAUAUAUAAAAGAACACCUUUAGAAGAGUAGAUAAAAAGCGACAGAUCUGUUUUAGAGCCUUGAAAGCCGAGAGCAUGAAGAGCAGUAGACAACCGUUGGAACCAAGCUCGGGGAGCUUGCUUAAGUCCAUACAAAGACUUAAGAAGAACACAAACAUGAUUGGGUUUCGUUGGAUCAACGAAACCCGGUGGUCGUUUUAAAUAGACCGUCUCGGUGAGAUUUCCAUGUAAAAAUGCAUUCUGAACAUCAAGUUGUCGUAAAGGCCAAUUAUGUGUCACCGCCAAAGAUAGAACAACCCGAAUAGUAGUCGAUUUUACAACUGGACUGAAAGUCUCAUGAUAGUCAAGACCCUGUUGUUGAUAAAACCUUUAGCAACCAAACGUGCUUUGUAGCGCACAAUAUCCCCGGUAUGAUCGCGCUUGAGUUUGUAAACCCAUUUACAUUCAACGACAUUCAUAUUUGAGACACGAGGAACUAAGGACCAAGUAUUGUUCCGUAGAAGAGCAGAAUACUCUUCUGCCAUGGCCUGACGCCAUUGAGGCAAUUUGUUAGCAAUAGUAAAGGUUGUGGGUUCAGUGUCAGGAGAGGAAGUAUGAGUGUGAUACGAGGUGGGAUCAUAUGGUUUGGUAGGCUUAGGAUUAGGACGUAGGUUGGAGGGUCGAACGCAUGGUUGAGAUUGGGUAGCUUCUGGUUGGGGAAUGGCAGUUUGAGGGAGAGAGGUGUCAAGUUGAGAUGUGGUGGUUCGCGGGCGUCGGUGAUAAGUAUGGACGAGAGGGGGACAUUGUUGAGAUUUACAGGAAGGAGGAGAUGUAGAAGAUAUAGGAGAUGUAGGUGGAGUAGUAGGUAAUAUGGGUGGUGGUGUAGUGGGUAUAUUUGAAGGAUCAGGAGUAGGAUAGGACGAUGUAUAUGGGUUAGAAGAAGAAGGUUCGGGUGGAGUUGGGGGGUUGAUGUUGUAUGGAAAGGAUCGUUGAUGAAACCAAAAAUGACGAACUAUAUAAAGUCGUUCAGAGAAAGGAUCAAAGCAUCGGUAACCAUGAUGGGAUGUGCUAUAUCCAAGAAACACACAUGGGAGAGAGCGAAAAUCCAUUUUAUGGUUGUUGUAUGGACGAAGGUGCGGAAAGCAUUGACAACCGAACACACUAAGAAAUAAAAAAUCAGGUUUGUGUUUGAAAAGAUGUUCAAAAGGUGAGAUGUUUUUGUUUGUACGGGAAGGCAUGCGAUUUAUAAGAUAAACAAUUGUGUCAAAAGCAAAAUGCCAAAAACGUUGUGGAACAGAGGAUUAGGCAAAAAGAGUAAGACCGGUUUCCACAACAUGACGGUGACGAUGUUCUACAAGAGCAUUUUGUUCACUUGUAUGAGGACAAGAUAGGCGAUGGGUGAUACCGAGAGAUGAGAAAAAUUGUGAAAGAUUUCGAAAUUCACUGCCUCAUUCAGUUUGAACUGAUUUUAACUUAGUUUGGAACUGCCAUUCAACAGUAAGAAUAAAUUGUUUGAAAGUAUUAUAGACAUCAGAUUUGGCUUUUAAAGGAAAAAACCACAUAAAGCGGGAAAAAUGAUCAACACACAAUAAAAAAUAUCGAUGCCCAUCAAAUGAGGUAACAGGAGCAGGUACCCAAACAUCAUAGAAAAGUAAGUCUAAAAUAUGAGAGCUUUUAAGCAUAACCUUUUUUCCCUUUUAGCAGCAAGUUCAACAUUCGUAAGUCUUUCGAAUGUCCAUGGCUAUGCCCCAUGCCUCCUCCAACAUUCCUAUCGUAGGUUUCCAUAGCUCCUUGGGUUUGCAUAGGCAUCAUAUUGCUUCCAAAAUCCAUUGGUGUUGCUGAUGAUCGGAAUAGCCCACACCCCGAUCGUUCCCUCUCUCAUUGACACGGUUCUCAUUACCGCCAAUCCCAUUGUGUGGGUCAAGCCCUAGGGUUGUAUGACCCUCACCAACUAUCUAGGUUCCGAUUUUAGCUGCUUGAUGGAAGUUCUUUCCCAAAAUUUAUAAUAUAAUCCUAUAAUAGUGGAACGUCCCCUCCUUUCGGAAACGAUCAAGGAGACACCGUGUCAGUCCUCUUCAUAUGGAAACAUAUCGAAACAGUGACGUUUAGACAAUAAAAAGACAAAUCUCCCUAUUAAUUAAUAACCCUGUUUCUGGUGACGCUUAUAGACUUGUCCAAAUUUGCAAGAUGAAUCAGAUUAAUGAAGCUAACACUCGAAACGACGAACCAGACAGCCUCCUGAUGAGUGAUUAUGACUCGGGUAAUGAAAUGGAAGAUGUCAGAGUAAAGAUGACUAUGGCAUAAAAUUCUGAUCCAAAUUCAUACGAUGAGGUUUUUAAAAGGAAGAAUUGAACAAGUGUUGUGAUGGAUGCAUGAGAUCAAGUCGACUAAGAAGACCACUAAUGGAGCUUAGUUGGGCUGCCAAAAUGAGCUAAAACUAGUGAAUCCAUAAGACCAAGCUGAUGCAUAAGGCCUUAUUAGUAGCAAAAAAAAGAGACUCAUAGAGGUAUGGAGUUGAUUAUUUAGAAGUUUAUGUACCUCGUAUGGAAACAGUAAGGAACUACUAUGGCAUUGGAUUCUCAAAAAAGGUGGACCACUACCAGCUACAAGUCAAAUCUCUGUUUCUAGAUGGAAAGCUGAAUGAAGAUGUGUACCAAAGCAAACACAAGGGUUCGAAGUAAAGGCUUCAGAGACGAAAGUGUACAAAGAACAUAAAGUUCUCUAUUGGUUCAAACAAGCACACAUGCAUGGUUCAAUCAACAGCCAUUAUACCAACAGGACUCAAUGCUCAAACUCAAAUUUUGAACAUAUAUGAUAUCGUAAGGUCAGGAUGAUGACUGUAAAUACUAAAAGGGAAGAAUAUCCAUGAUCCAUCACAUUCUCUAACAAAACUCGCCACUUCAAAUUUAAUCAGUUAGCCGCUAUAUAUAUAACUACAUAUUCCAGGUAAAGAUGGGUUUGAUUAUUAUAAUUUUUACGAUGCAAUUCAAAGAACUUAAAAUGCAACAUAUUCCAAUCCGAAACAUAUAUGGAUUUACCUGAGUUAUUGACGGAUUUGCAGAGGUAGAAUAAAACCGUCCAAACCUGGAUCACACGUUGAUGGAAUGAAAGGGGUGUUUGGAUGUGCAUGCUCAGACCACACAAACAUACUGAGUGAGGGAACUCCUUUCAUGCGGCAAUGAAUUCAAUAAACAAAUAAGUGCCUCCAACUGCUCCCUAGGCGUUAAUAACCAUCUUUGAAUCAGAUAAGGAUGGCUCAAACACCAAUGGCGUAUGAGCUAUGCUCACACAUUAAACAGAGAAGAAAAAAGUACAGCCGAAUAUGAAGAGACGAUUAGGAAGAACUUUAGGCAGGAUUACGAAGAAACACUAGGAAUUUUAUUAUUAAAAAGGUAUCAUCUUAUAUACAGCUAUACACAGCUCAACAGCUGUAAGCUAGAGCUCCAGUAAUGCGUAUCCAAAGUAAGUUGGUGCAGAUUUUCAUCAAACACUUGUACUGCAGUUCAAUGGCACCCAUAGCAUAGAGCAUCUGGUCCUCUUCUUCAUCUUAUUUUCCCAUUAGGCUAUUUAUAGGACCCGUUAGGGUAACAAUUGACCCCUGCAAACUUGGCAUCGCAGUUUAAGCAUAACCUUUUUUCCCUUUUAGCAGCAAGUUCAACAUUCGUAAGUCUUUCGAAUGUCCAUGGCUAUGCCCCAUGCCUCCUCCAACAUUCCUAUCGUAGCCAUUGUGAAAUAUUUAUGGUGUUGACACACGUCACACUCCGCCAUCAUUCUUGCUAUGCCUUUACACAUACCCUCCCAGUAUACUUCCUUUGCCAUUUUUUGGUAAGUUUUUGUACUCCUGAAAUGUCCCGCAAUUGCACUCGCACGUCACUCAUGAAAUAGACAAGGAACUCAAGAUGAUGAUCGAGGCAGCACUAAACAACUUUGAUAAAGGAUUCAGUCACCUUCAUCACUAAGCCUCGGUGGUGCGAAAGUCCCUUCUCGAACUUGCUGCCUUAUUAUCCAAAAUUCUUGAGCCCAGGACAUCUCUCACAAAACCUCAUUCCAUUAGACUAUCCAAAACCCCAUUCCAUUAGACUAUCCAUGGUACUGAAAGGGUACCGAAGGUUGACAAUGUCCCCUUUCAUGAAUGUAUAUCAGUUGUGUUUUUUUUUGGGCCUAUACUAAAUUUCAAAAUUAUAUCCUAAUAGUUUGGACAUCCAAUUUUGAUGUUCCUCAGUAAUGAUUUGUUGUUGUAAGUAAACAUUUAAAUCUUCGUUGGUUUGCCUGAACUAUGAAACACUUUCACACGAAGUAUGGAUGCCACUUUUGAAUGGCGAAUACUAUCGCUGUUAGUUCUGUUUCAUCAAGUGGCUUGUGCCAAGAACCGGUACCAAGGACCUAACUGUAUUAGGCCUUAGGCCACUGGUAUUCCUCCUUGCAUGAGAACUGCCCCCAACCCAAGGCAUGAUGCAUCGGUUUCCAUAAUGAAUUCCUUGGGUAAAAUACAGUAUUACCAACACCGGUAUUUAUAUCAUUGUUGUUUGGUCAUUACUAGGAAAAAGGCUUUUCUUGACAGACGAGUAGAUAAAAAGCAUAUAUAAAAGAACACCUUUAGAAGAGUAGAUAAAAAGCGUCGGAUCUGUUUUAGAGCCUUGAAAGCCGAGAGCAUGAAGAGCAGUAGACAACCGUUGGAACCAAGCUCAUGGAGCUUGCUUAAGUCCAUACAAAGACUUAAGAAGAACAAAAACAUGAUUGGGUCUCGUUGGAUCAACGAAACCCGGUGGUUGUUGUAAAUAGACCGUCUCAGUGAGAUUUCCAUGUAAAAAUGCAUUCUGAACAUCAAGUUGUCGUAAAGGCCAAUUAUGUGUCACCGCCAAAGAUAGAACAACCCGAAUAGUAGUCGAUUUUACAACUGGACUGAAAGUCUCAUGAUAGUCAAGACCCUGUUGUUGAUAAAACCUUUAGCAACCAAACGUGCUUUGUAGCGCACAAUAGCCCCGGUAUGAUCGCGCUUGAGUUUGUAAACCCAUUUACAUUCAACGACAUUCAUAUUUGAGACACGAGGAACUAAGGACCAAGUAUUGUUCCGUAGAAGAGCAGAAUACUCUUCUGCCAUGGCCUGACGCCAUUGAGGCAAUUUGUUAGCAAUAGUAAAGGUUGUGGGUUCAGUGUCAGGAGAGGAAGUAUGAGUGUGAUACGAGGUGGGAUCAUAUGGUUUGGUAGGCUUAGGAUUAGGAUGAUGGUUGGAGGAUCGAACGCGUGGUUGAAAUUGGGUAGCUUCUGGUUGGGGAAUGGCAGUUUGAGGGAGAGAGGUGUCAAGUUGAGAUGUGGUGGUUUGCGGGCGUCAGUGAUAAGUAUGGAGGAGAGGGGGACAUUGUGGAGAUUUACAGGAAGGAGGAGAUGUAGAAGAUAUAGGAGAUAUAGGUGGAGUAGUAGGUAAUAUGGGUGGUGGUGUAGUGGGUAUAUUUGAAGGAUCAGGAGUAGGAUAGGACGAUGUAUAUGGGUUAGAAGAAGAAGGUUCGGGUGGAGUUGGCGGGUUGAUGUUGUAUGGAAAGUUUCGUUGAUGAAACCAAAAAUGACGAACUAUAUAAAGUCGUUCAGAGAAAGGAUCAAAGCAUCGGUAACCAUGAUGGGAUGUGCUAUAUACAAGAAACACACAUGGGAGAGAGCGAAAAUCCAUUUUAUGGUUGUUGUAUGGACGAAGGUGCGGAAAGCAUUGACAACCGAACACACUAAGAAAUGAAAAAUCAGGUUUGUGUUUGAAAACAUGUUCAAAAGGUGAGAUGUUUUUGUUUGUACGGGAAGGCAUGCGAUUUAUAAGAUAAACAAUUGUGUCAAAAGCAAAAUGCCAAAAACAUUGCGGAACAGAGGAUUGGGCAAGAAGAGUAAGACCGGUUUCCACAACAUACAAGAGCGUUUUGUUCACUUGUAUGAGGACAAGAUAGGUGAUGGGUGAUACCGAGAGAUGAGAAAAAUUGUGAAAGAUUCCGAAAUUCACUGCCCCAAUCAGUUUGAACUGAUUUUAACUUAGUUUGGAACUGCCAUUCAACAGUAAGAAUAAAUUGUUUGAAAGUAUUAUAGACAUCAGAUUUGGCUUUUAAAGGAAAAAACCACAUAAAGCGGGAAAAAUGAUCAACACACAAUAAAAAAUAUCGAUGCCCAUCAAAUGAGGUAACGGGAGCAGGUACCCAAACAUCACAGAAAAGUAAGUCUAAAAUAUGAGAGCUUUUAUAAGUAGCGGAUGACAAAUGAAGUUUAGAGGAUUUGCCAAUAGAACAUGAAGUAGAAGUUGAAGUAACAUGUUUAUCUAGUAAAGGUAAACUAUAUUUAGAAAUCAUUGACUGCAACAACUGCUGGUGAGGUUGUCCAAGGCGUUGAUGCCAAGUGAUCGAAGAAGCACGAGUGGCAAAGAAAGCAACUUUGGUGGAAGUUGUUGGGUUAAUCGUUUAUUUACCAGGUCACGGAUACGGGUCAAUAGGUCGAUGAUCUGGUAGCUUAUUGGUCAUGGGUAACUGAUGGAGUUUACAAGCAUAUCUAUAAAUAAUAAAGAUGGAAAAUAAAAGGUGUUUACUUGUUCAUAAGUGGACCGAUUCUUGAGGGGUCUUCCCAUAUUUUACUUUUCUUUAGGAGUAAGUUUAGAACGUGGGUAUGAUAUAUUACUUAAAGAGAAGAGAUGCUAUAGCUAGAGUUGUAGUAGAUGUAGUAACUUUGUUUUUUUUUAAUAUAAUAAGAAGCUUCUCCAUUUUCUGUUGCAAGUUUAUAUUCACAUACAUACGUGCAUAGUGUGUGUUUUGUGUGUUUUUUUCAAGGACCUGUGACAACAAUUGGUAUCAUAAUGUUAGCUUAAGGAGAAAAGUGGCAGGUUCCUUUUUUUUGUCACAACUUUUGGANGGCAGCUUCCUUUUGUUAGUCACAUAACUGUGGACAGAAAGUAAACAAAGAAACUUCUCUACCCAAAUAAUUAUAACACGGAAUUGAUAGAGGGAAGUAAGGGAAAAAGGGCUAUAUAUUAUUAAUAUCAGUAGAGGCUAUAUAUAGCCUUCUUAGAUACCCAUGUGAACUACUCAACCUAAAGAUCCGGUCUAAGCUAAGGACCCGUACACUUGCACAUGAUCCGGUCAAAACUAAAUACACAUUCUAAAUAAUCUACUAUUUUCUAAACCAUAAAAUAUAAAACAAUAGAAAACUUAUUAAAUUCAAAGUUUCAGCCAUGCACAAACCAAUUAACCCAGCAAUCACCCCCUUAAUUGGUUUACUCAUAGCACUCCUUCACAGCAAUGCCGACUCUUCUUCAAUUAGAUUUGCCUCUUGCUUCUCCCACUUUGGACACUCAUUGCUAUAAUGACCAUACUCACCACAUUUGUAACAUUUAACGUGACUUUUAUCCCAGACACGUUCAUUUCCAUCUCGACUCUUCCCGGACCCCCGACCUUUUCCCUAGCCACGUCCAAAGUCAUCCCGAUUUGAACCUCCACUGCCACAAUGUUUACAACCAUGUGGUUUUUCUUGACUAGCCAAUAGCAACUUACCUUGAGUGUCUUCCGUGUUUUUAUUUCCUUUUAUUCGUUCCUCGUAAGCUUUCAACCUUCCAACAGCCUCAUCAAACAACAUAAAGUCUAGCUCGAAACAUUGUUCAAUUGUCGCCACAAUUUGGAGAAAGGACUUGGGCAUAGAAUCAAGUAACCUUUUCACCAAGUCAACUUCUUCAUGUUCAUGUCCGAGACUCCGUGCUUUCGAAGCUAAACCACUUAACUUGGCUGCAAAAUCAUCAACGGUUUCUCCCUCCUUCAUAUGCAAGCUUUCUAGUUCCCUCUUCAAAGUUGCUAAUCGAGUCGUUCUUACCCGAUCCACACCCAAAUACCAAGUUUUUAAGCCUUCCCAAACCCUUUUUGGAUCGGUGUAAUUGGACAUUUGCAACACCAUCUCUUCUGGUAUUGCUUGAAACAGGAAAGCAAAAGCUUAUUUCUUCUUCUUUAGAUCUGAUUUGUCACCCAAUACCCUCGCUUCAACGGUAUCCCAUAUGCCAUUUGCAUCCAUAAUGGAAUUCACUUUGACCGCCCAUACCGGAUAAUUUGUUGGCGUCAGAACCGGAACCUGAUAUGUCAUUGAACCACCUUCUUUUGCUGGUACCAUGGUCACUAUUUUCUUUCUUUUCACAGCCCCAAUCUCUUCCGAUCUCACCUGUUCGAGGAGCUUUUUCCACCAGUCAAGAAAAAAAAGCUUCUGCCUAUCUUGUUUUCUUUUACCUAGCAAGCAGGCCAAACCAAAAUCCCACCCGUUUUGAUUUUUUCUGCUUGUCUCUUCCGCUUCUGGUUAGGCUCCUCUAACACCGAACAGAUGGAUCAAGGAUGGAGGCUGCAAUUUUUUCAACCUGCUAACAGAAAGGAGUUACACCCCCUUCACCAGAACCGUGGGGCUUUGAUACCAAAUGUUAGUUUAAGGAGAAAAGUGGCAGCCUCCUUUUGUUAGUCACAAUGAAACUUCUCUACCCAAACAAUUAUAACAUGGAAUUGAUAGAGAGAAGUAAGGGAAAAAGGGCUAUAUAUUAUUCAUAUCAGUAGAGGCUAUAUAUAGCCUUCUUAGAUACCCAUGUGAACUACUCAACCUAAAGAUCCGGUCUAAGCUAAGGACCCGUACACUUGCACAUGAUCCGGUCAAAACUAAAUACACAUUCUAAAUAAUCUACUAUUUUCUAAACCAUAAAACAUAAAACAAUAGAAAACUUAUUAAAUUCAAAGUUUCAGCCAUGCACAAACCAAUUAACCCAACAAAAGUAGGCUGGAAUCACGGAAGAUGGAAGGAGUAAAGGCCGCAACUACUUGGACCCGUGAGGAGGGUAGUGUGAGUAAUCUCGUCCUUCACAACAAAAAAAGAAGUGUGAAAUUCAAAGUAAACAUUAUUAUCAUGGAAAAAUUUUUGAACAGAGAGAAGAUUUUGUUUGAUUUCUGGGACAUGAAGCAUUUGUGAGAGAUGAAAAGUUUUAUAUGGAGAGUAAAGCUGUGAGGAACCGAUAUGAAGAAUGGGUAAACCUUUACCGUUCUUAACAUGUAGAGUGUCAUGACCGUUGUAUGUCUCAGAAUGAUCAAAGCUGGAGAGGUUGGCUGUAACAUGAUUAGUUGAACUAGUAUCGGUGACCCAAGAAGAGGAAACCUGGGAACGGUAAUCAGCAAAAUUAGCAGAGGGUUGUUGUCUCGUACAAAUCGUUGCGGGAUCACGUUUAGGGCACUGGGAUGGAACAUGGCCAAUACCGCACUUGUUACAUGUGCCAUAAACAAUAUUUUGAUUAGAUGCCCAAGUAAACCGAGUUCGAUUACCUCCUUGUUGUCAGUUAUUAUAGUUUCCACGACCUUGGUUAUUUGUUGAGCGAUUGUUGCGAUUGCUGCCUGAUUGGUUUGUGUAGAAGGCUUGGGCUGGUGGUGAACUUGUUGGUUGAAGUUGUAACCCAAGCUGUUGUGCAAGUUGUUGAAUAGCCUGGACAGCAUCACCUUGUGACAGGGAGUGUCCGACAAGAGAGGGAUUAGGUUGUUGGGUGGCAGCAGUGAAUACUUGAGCUGGUGGCACCUCUGUAGAGGUCUUUCUGAUCAUGUAGUCGUGGUCGGAGAGAAGACCAUUAAAUUCAGCAAAGGCAGUGGCAGAGUGUUGGGCUAACAAGGUGGAUUUCAACCUAUUAUAUUCGUCUCUUAAACCUGAUAUAACAAGCAUCAUUAGGUUCUUUUCUUUUAUUGGUUCACCAAUGUUGGCUAGAGCAUUAGAGUACUCUUGUGCUCGAGUUAAAUAGGCAGAUGAAGAUUCAUCUUCCUUCAUUGAAAUUUUCAAGAGUUGGGUUUUAAGAGUAUAUUCAUGAGAGGAGGUAUGAGGAGCAGAACCACAUUCUAAAGACAGCCAAAGGUCACGAGACGUAUUUCCUUGAACAUGUUGAAAAGAGGUUUCUAAGGUGGUGGACAGAAUGAGCAUCCGAAAAUGUGCAUCAUUGGAUACCCAAGCUUUGUAACAAUGGUUGGAUGUCGAUGUGGAGGUCACUGCGUCUCCUUCUUUGCCAGAAGAUGUGGUGGAUACGAUGGUGGCUGGAGGGCACAAUAUGGUGCCAUCGACAUAACCAAACAAAUAGUUAGUGAUCAAGAAUAGUUGUAACAUGGUUUUCCAGUACCCAUAAUUGCUUGGAGUCAAAGUAAAAGCAAAUUUAUGAGAACUGUGGCUUUUUUUCUCGGUUGUAGAAAAAAUCGUGAUGUCUGCCAUUGUACUAGUUGGUCGACGAUGGGUGUAGAGGGGUUGUUAUGGCCGCUUUAGGGUUAGUGAUAAAAGCGCUCUGAUACCAAAAUAAACUUGGUGAAUAAGGAAUUGUAUUCUUAAAAAUCAUACGUAAGCAAGGAUUACAAGAAUAUAUAUAGUAAAUACAUUUACAUUAACACCCCCUGUAGAAUAUAAACUAUAUAUAUAUAUAUAUAUAUAUAUAUAUAUAUAUAUAUNNNNNNNNNNNNNNNNNNNNNNNNNNNNNNNNNNNNNNNNNNNNNNNNNNNNNNNNNNNNNNNNNNNNNNNNNNNNNNNNNNNNNNNNNNNNNNNCUCUAGUGGCAGGAAAUCAUCUACGACCCGUAGUUCGUGUAAUGCGAGAAUCAUCUUCUUAUAAAUGCCUUUGCUUCCUUACACCAUUCCAUUACCAACCAUAUCCUUACAUUGUUACCGACACUAAUAGCCUUUAACAUAUCACCAAGCGUUGUGACACGAAGUUAUGAGUCGCCCCGUUGUCAAUUAGUAUCACCACUUCGAGACCGCCCAUGUUUUCACGUAUUUUCAUAGUGUAUAGGGGCGUUUACAAUAUAUCCGAGUUUAAUUUGACUUCCUCUGCAUCCAAGUGAGCAUGAUCCUAGCUUGUAUCUAAGGAUGUUAUAAAUGAGUCGACCUACUGGCGUGCUACUUGGGAUUGGAUAGUUAAAAACUCGAAAUGAGUCGAGCCAUAACAAGCCCGAACCAGAGCUCGAUGCUAGAAUAAAUCUCAUUUAACAAACAAGCCUCAUCUUGAGCCUACACUUAAGAGUUCGUUUUAUUUCGUGGGCUUAAACAAGUUUUUUUAUAAUUUGUUUUUAUUUUUAUAUAUUUUAUUUAUUACUUAUAUAUUAAUAAAAUAUGAAAAAAUAACGAGUCGAUCCCGACCUUUAGCGAGAUUUACGGAGAAACGAGCCUUAAUGAGCCUUAACGAGCCGAUCCCAAGGUUCACAUAUGUUCUACAAGCUCGAGCUCGAGCUUUAGUAGCUUUAAAGGAGCAUGGAUCGUUGUGAAUCUCGAUUCGGCUCAACUCUUUUACAUCUCUAUGUAUCAGACUGUUCUUCCUUCCUUCCUUCCUUCCUGGUCCUCUUCUUCGUCUUAUUUUCCCAUUAGGCUAUUUAUAGGACCCGUUAGGGUAACAAUUGCCCCCUGCAAACUUGGCAUCGUAGUUUUAGCAUAACCUUUUUUCCCUUUUAGCAGCAAGUUCAACAUUCGUAAGUCUUUUGAAUGUCCAUGGCUAUGCUCCAUGCCUCCUCCAACAUUCCUAUCGUAGGUUUCCAUAGCUCCUUGGGUUUGCAUAGGCAUCAUAUUGCUUCCAAAAUCCAAUUGUGUUGCUGAUGAUCGGAAUAGCCCACGCCCUGAUCGUUCCCUCUCUCAUUGACACGGUUCUCAUUACCGCCAAUCCCAUUGUGUGGGUCAAGCCCUAGGGUUAUAUGACCCUCACCAAGUAUCUAGGUUCUGAUUUUAGCUGCUUGAUGGAAGUUCUUUCCCGAAAUUUAUAAUAUAAUCCUAUAAUACUGGAACGUCCUCUCCUUUCGGAAACGAUCAAGGAGACACCGUGUCAGUCCUCUUCAUAUGGAAACGUAUCGAAACAGUAACGUUUAGACAAUAAAAAGACAAAUCUCCCUAUUAAUUAAUAACGCUGUUUCUGAUGACGCUUAUAGACUUGUCCAAAUUUGCAAGAUGAAUCAGGUUAAUGAAGCUAAGACUCGAAACGACGAACCAGAGACAGCCUCCUGAUGAGUGUUUAUGUCUUGGGUAAUGAAAUGGAAGAUGUUAAGAGUAAACAUGACUAUGGCAUAAAAUUCUGAUCCAAAUUCAUACAAUGAGGUUUUUAAAAGGAAGAAUUGAUGAAUUGUUGUGAUGGAUGCAUGAGAUCAAGUCGACUAAGAAGACGACUAAUGGAGCUUAGUUGGGCUGCCAAAAUGAGCUAAAACUAGUGAAUCCAUACGACCAAGCUGAUGCAUAAGGCCUUAUUAGUAGCAAAAAAAGAGACUCAUAGAGGUAUGGAGUUGAUUAUUUACAAGUUGAUGUACCUCGUAUGGAAACAGUAGGAACUAAUAUGGCAUUGGAUUCUCAAAAAAGGUGGAACAUCUACCAGCUACAAGUCAAAUCUCUUUUUCUAGAUGGAAAGCUGAAUGAAGAUGUGUACCAAAGAAAACACAAGGGUUAAAAGUAAAGGCUUUAGAGAGGAAAGUGUACAAAGAACAUAAAGUUCUCUAUCGGUUCAAACAANCAUUUUGAAAUUGAUCUGCAUUUUGUCAGGGAAAAAUUGAGAAUGGAAUUUUAAAAGUAAAUAAAAUAGUAUCUUCUAAUCAAAAUGCAUAUAUUUUAACAAAGUCACUUGGUAGUGUUCAACAUGAAUACAUUGUAAAUCGACUUAAUAUGAUUGAUGUUUUUAAAAAGUAAUAAAAUAUUUUCAAAAAUUAAUGUUUAGUUUGAGGGGGCAUGUUGAAAAGAGUUAAUAAAAUAUUCAAACUUAAACAUUAAUUUGUUAGUUAUUUGGUAAAAGUGUUAUACAAUAUAUUUGUGUGGAUAUUGUGGUAAGUUGUAAUGCAGGUAAAGGAUACACGCGGAUCAAUGGGUCUAUGGGUUAUACCCGAAGUCUAGUGGGUCGAUGUAUAUAAUGUGUUAAAUGAUCUCAUUUGUAGCUACCAAUAUAUUUUCUCAUCUGUAUUUCUCAGUUUCUCUUUCAUCUUGAGUUUGGGUUUUCGUUUAGGGUUUGUUCAUAAAUCGUUGUCACACUAGAUUUGUAAUAUGAGUGUGUGAGUGAUUUUGUAGUGAGGUUUGAUUUGUUACCUAUUGAUGUAAGCCAUCUGUUUCAUAGUGAAUGAAAUGAUGAUGUUGGGAAGAUCUUGUUUCGAUUACGUUUCUUUACAUGGUAUCAGAGCUAUGGCUCCUUCGGUGUUCUUGUGACGUUCGUUGAUUUGCGAUUGUUCGUCUCACGAUCGUACUGGUAAUUUCUGAACUCCUUUCUUUAUUUGCUCUUUGAUUGACGCAGUUGUUUGUUUAAUCAUGAGUUCCUGUGAACUAUGAUCUUCUAUUUCAUCAACUGUGUUCUUCUUGAUGUUCGUUUUGAUUUAGGGUUUUCUCUGGAAAAUUAUUCUGAAGUAGCUGAGGAUAUUUAGGAAAAUCUUUUUGAAACUUACAAUAAGUCUGAUGGAUCUGUUGUUUUUAAUAUACAUCAACAAAUUAAUUCCCUUAAACAAAAUGGUACUUCUCUGUCAGAUUACUUCAAUAAGCUUGAUUCUUUAUGGAAAGAAUUUGAUGGUCUUACUAGUUUAACUGAGUGUACAUGUGAUGCUUCUAUUAAACUAAAGGAUCAUUCUAAUCUCAUGAAGCUUAUGCAGUUUUUAUAUGGACUUGAUGAUUCAUAUAGUCAAGUCAAAAGUCACAUUUUAUUAAUGGAUCCCUUACCUAAUGUGAAAACUGCUUUUUCUAUUGUGUGUAGAGAAGAAACACUUCAAAGAAAUGGUUCUUUGACUUCUCUUCAGGCUUCUCAGUCUCUAAAUAAAUCUCAGUCAUCUACUUUUAAUAGCAAGUUUAAUAACAAGACUAAUGUUAAUAAGAAUAAGGGUUAAAUUGUUCAAGUUUAAUAACAUAUGAUUGCCUCUGAGUCACUACUCCAUGACACUGUGGAUGUGUCAAAAUUAGAUUUGCUGGUUUGUCAUCCCAAUGGUACAUCAGUUAAGAUUGAAAAAAUUGGUUACAUGAAUUUAUCUAAUUCUUUAACACUAUUUGAUGUGUUUGCUGUUCCUGAUUUCAAUGUUAAUUUUCUUUCUGUUCAUAAGGUCUAUAAAGAUAGUAAUUGUGAGGUUGUUUUUAAUGAGAAUAAUUGCAAAAUUCGGGAUUUACAGUCAAAGGUGAUGGUGGGGAAUGGUAGAGAGUCUGGAGGUCUCUUUUACAUUAAUAGUGCACCUUUAGGUAGUCUGUCUAAUUCUUCUAUUUCUUCUUCUGUUUGUUGUGUGUCUAAACUAACUUGGCACAAUAGACUUGGUCAUCCUUCUGAUCAAGUUUUGAGUUCUUUGAGACAUAGACUUAAGAUUGGAAGUGAAGUUCUUCCACCUUGUGACAUUUGUCAUAAGGCUAAACAAACUAGAGAAUCUUUUCCUGUUAGUCAACAUACUACUUCUAAACUUGGUGAGUUAAUUCAUUUAGAUGUUUGGGGUCCUUAUAAAGUGACAACUACAGAAGGAUUUAGGUAUUUUUUGACUAUUGUGGAUGAUUUUACUAGGGCAACUUGGGUUUAUCUUUUAAAUUCUAAAGAUGAAGUUUAUGAUUCUGUUCUUGUUUUCUUUAAUAUUUUGAUUUAUCAGUUUAGUUUUAAAAUAAAGGCAGUACAAAGUUUUUAAAUAACAGAAUGAGACAAUUAACUGAAUCAAAAGGAAUUUUGCAUCAAACAUCUUGUGUUCAUACUCCACAACAAAAUGGUGUUGUGGAGAGGAAACACAGACACAUUUUAAAUGUUGCUUGGUCUUUAAUUUUUCAGUCUGGUUUGCCAAUUAAACACUGGGGAGAUGCCAUUUUAACUUCAGUUUUUUUGAUUAAUAGAACACCUACUUCAAUCUUAAAUGGUUCUUCUCCCUAUGAACUUGUUUAUAAUUGUGCACCUGUUUUUGAUAAACUUAGGGUAUUUGGAUGUUUGUGUUUUGUCUCUAAGUUGAAUAAUAAUGAUAAAUUUUCUGAAAGAGCUGAUAAGUGUGUUUUUCUUGGUUAUUCUUUUAAUAAAAAGGGUUACAAAGUUCUUAGUCUUGAUUCUAAUCUUAUUUUUGUUUCCAGGGAUGUAAAGUUUUAUGAGUCUGUGUUUCCUUUCAAGCUUAAAACUUCAUCUUUAACUGAUAGUUCAGUUGUCACUGUGAAUUCAAAUGACCUAUUUUCCUAUGAUGAGUCUUUAGAUUCUAGUUUUAUUCUAGAUAAUACUAGAGCAGAUAACCUGAGGAGUAGCCAUCAGAUGGAUGGUGCUAAUGCAGACCAGGACCAGGAUGAGACUUGUCCCUCUAAUGUCAGCAACCGGACUGGUGAGGCAUAUGUGCCUCCCUCUGAUGUGUUGUUUCCAAGCUCUUCUGCAUUGACUGAGGAAAAUGAUUCAAUUAAUUCUAAUCCUUCUGAAAGUUUGUCAACUAGGAUCACUAGAUCUGGAAGGAAUGUUCACAUGCCAGUUAGAUUUAGUGAUUAUGUUGUAGAGGGUACACAUAAAUAUGGUAUUGAAAGAACUGUAAAUUAUUCAGGUCUUAAUACUGAGUCUUUCUGUUUUAUUUCUAAUCUUAAUAAAACAGUUGAACCUAAGACUUAUAGUGAAGCAGCUUUAGAUCCAAAUUAGAUCAAAGNAUAUGAAGAGACGAUUAGGAAGGACUUUAGGCAGGAUUACGAAGAAACACUAGGAAUUUUAUUAUUAAAAAGGUAUCAUCUUAUAUAAAGCUAUACACAGCUCAACAGUUGUAAGCUAGAGCUCAGUUAAUGCGUAUCCGAAGUAAGUCGGUGCAGAUUUUCAUCAAACACUUGUACUGCAGUUCAAUGGCACCCAUAAAUAACAUCAAGCUUAGUUUGUGUAGCUUCUAAUGAUAAACGCCGGAUUCCAUAAAUAGGGUUUUUUUGAGUCCUUUACUUUAUUUUGUUUCCGUUUUUAUUUUUGCAUCAGAAGCUAAACUCUUGGGCUUCAGUUUCUUUUCUGUUAUGAGUCCUUUGGUUGGUCUCUCUCACCUGGUAUAUAUAGGUGUUAUCCUGCUGUACGACUUAUGAAUAAUUUUAUGAACUUCAACUAUUUCAUCAGGGUUGCCCUGUGAAAGUCUUAUAUAAGCCCUAAUUCCAUUGUUGAGCUUAACAUUAAACUGUUGCAAUACAACCCCUCCUUUUUCUAAAUUUCUUCGUGACCCACAUAUUUUAUUAUUUUGUUUUGCAUAAAUUACACGAAUGGUCCCUGUGGUUUUUGAUAAUCUACACGCUUGGUCCCUAAUGUUUUUUUUUUAACUUGGUCCAUCCCUAUAACAUGUUUUUAUUGCGCGUUUUGCCCCUGACAUACUUAAAAAUACUAUACUGCCCUUUGAUGUGAAUUAAGAGCAUUUGAUUUGGCAUGUGGAAUUAAAUGAACAAAAAAAACACUGUAGUUGAAAUGAAUUCGAGUAUGAAUUCUAAGAUCAGAGUAAAGUAAGAAUAUUACUAGAAACUAAGAAAUCAUCACACUUUAAAAACAUCAAACAUACGUUUCUGAAAUCCAUCAAACACAAGUUUUUGAAAUCCAUCAAACACAAUUUAUUAACAUAAGAUACUAAAAACUAUCAGAAGCUAUCUUUAUGGCAGAGAGAACAAGCAAUGCCAUGUCAUCCAAACUGCUUCAACAGCCUCAAACUUAGCCACUUGCUCCUGGAAGCAUAGGGUCUCGCUUAAUCAACUGAGAAAUCAAAAGGGGAAGUCAGUGAACAGUCAACAUUAUAUAUACCAGACUCAAAGAGUAAAUAAUAGUUGCAAUUGAAGUGCAUUGCAAGAAUACAAAUAAAUGAAAUUGAAGUGCAUUGCAAGAAUACAAAUAAAUGAAGGCCAAAUGUAUACUGGGUGAAGGUAAUGAGUCUGUUACACUUCUUAUUAGGCAUACGUUUCGUCCUGUCAGUUGUGGCUUAAGUAGAGCCGUGAGGGCAAUAAGGUUUUUUUACUGUUAGAUCAGUUAGGUAGGCUUAGUUGAGUGGUUAGUGUUAGUAGUUGGUAUCUUUGGUCAUAACAGAAUAUAAGUGAAUUCAGGAAGAGUUCCUAGCUUCUUGAAUGCUAGUAAACUUAAGUAUGCUCCAUGAUCAAAACUUUAAACUAUAGACAAUGUCCUUUUGCAGACCUCAUAUAUUACAAAAGAAAAUGAGAGCAUCCCAUGAGUAAACAUGAAGAUUGAGCUAUGAGGCCUAGAUCAACACAGUUUUUUAGGGAUGUACAGGAAUCAUCAUAAGCAUUAAUAAGAAUUCAGUAUCCAGAUAUAAUUCCACAGUUUGUAUUAUAUGAUAAACAAAAUGAACGCACCUUACAACUCUUCUUGCUAUUACUCUCUUGUAUCUUUCUCUUUGGCCUCCCAUUAACAUAGGGAGAUACAAGACUCUCCAUAUAGAUAGGGGCACAAAUAUAUUCCUUAGUCUUGUAGAACAGCAUAUCACGACACAAAGUUCUCUUGUUAGGAACGUAAUGUUCCUGCUCUUUCAAGCAUUGUAAAGCUAAGUUCAUAUCACAGUCCUUUUCAAACAUUUCCCAAGACAGCUUUCCAUUGUAGUUCUUCAGCAUCCAUAAGUUAUCGUUAAACCCAUCACAAGGAAAUACGCAUAAACAAUCUUCGAUAAUACCUAAAUUCAUAUUUGGGCAGCUAGCAACACCAGAUUCAUAUCGCUCAUCAUCAGGUUCGGAAAUUUUGAUAAAUUUUUCUUCAGAUAGCUGAAACGAAGCAAUGACUCUCUUCUUAUUUGGAGAUGAAGAAUCUUUCAUAAUCCAAUGAAGUGCCCCAUUGCAUAAGAUACCAAUCCUACUAUGAAAUGAAUACUUUACAUCUCCAAUUAGUUUCCAAACAUUUGAUUUCAAACUUAACACUUGAAAACACGUCCAACCAACACGUUUACGGAACCCUAAUACAACCUUGUAAUCAUCCGUAGAUGAAUCAUAGCCAAAACCCCAACAUAAAUGCUUGGUAUCAAGAAUUUGAGGCUCUUGUAGUGUUUGAACCUCUCUAGUUGAGGGAUUAGCUACUACAAGUUGAGAAGCAAAAGAAGAGAUGCAUACAAGUCCAUUGGAAGAACCAAGAAGAUGACAAUCACGAUCAUCAAAUAAUCUAUCAUCAACAUCACAAACACGCGACCCGUUGCGAUAAGAGACCCUUGACAUAACAAUCCUCCUAUCUAUAUCAUUGUUUUUGUAAUCAAUUUGGUAACUAUAGUUCAUAUGGAAUUUAAUGAAACCAGAGUCAGAGAUCAAAUUUUCCCAAGACUUACAUACACUUUUGCAUCGGAUUAGAUCGCUCACAUUCAAUCUUUUCAGUAUAUUCGGAAGGACAUCAUCGUGAAGCUCUGCCAUCGAAACCCUAGAGUCGGCAAUCCGAUAGGAAAGAAAAGGGGGGGGGG